GCCACAGUUACUGACAGAGAAGAUUUGUAGUAGUAGUAGUAGUAGUAGUAGUAUAAGUAGUUAUAAGCCAAACAAAAAGAACGGGCCCAUAACAUGAGGAUAGAAAAGAGGAAGGCAGAAUAGGUCAAUAUUGUGUGUAUAAAAGUUUCCCUUCCUGAACAUUUUCUCGGUUAUUAGUUAAUAGUGUUUUAAAAUGUUAUACAUCUAUGCUUUUCUACCUUUCACAAUGUACUCUGGAAACUGUAUGUUAGGUUUUAGGUCCAUCACAAAGGAUGAACAACAUUUGUCCUUCUUCCAAUGGCUUUCUGGUCGUCACCCAUGUGUACCCACAACAAGGUGCCCAAAGUGCCACUUCACCCCAGAGCGGAGUUGCUCCACCAGCCUCCUCUCGGCUUGGGACAUUCCUAAAAGCAGAACCAGCAGCCCUGGGAACAAUUCAAAUAAUGACUGGUGUGGUUGUAUUCUUGUUUGGCAUCACAACUGCAUUCUAUGCAUCAACAAUAUCAUCUUUCACUGGGAUCAUGUUCUGGGGAGCCAUUAUUUACAUCACUGCUGGUUCACUUACUGUUAGAGCCAAUAAGAAGCUCAAUCAGUGUUUGGUGAGUACUU